rnacentral:misc_RNA from 1 species
GUGGGAGGGGGCUUGCUCCCGAUGGCGGCGGAUCAGUCACUUAUGUAUCGGCUGAUGUACCGCAUCGGGAGCAAGCCCCCUCCCAC